GGGCCCGUAGCUCAGCGGUUAGAGCAGUGGACUCAUAAUCCAUUGGUCGGAGGUUCGAAUCCUCCUGGGCCCA
rnacentral:tRNA from 1 species